rnacentral:rRNA from 1 species
UGGGGAAUAUUGGACAAUGGGCGGAAGCCUGAUCCAGCAACGCCGCGUGAGGGAUGACGGCCUUCGGGUUGUAAACCUCUUUCAGCACAGACGAAGCGAAAGUGACGGUAUGUGCAGAAGAAGCACCGGCCAACUACGUGCCAGCAGCCGCGGUAAUACGUAGGGUGCGAGCGUUGUCCGGAAUUAUUGGGCGUAAAGGGCUCGUAGGCGGCUUGUCGCGUCGGGAGUGAAAACACACAGCUUAACUGUGUGCUGGCUUCCGAUACGGGCAGACUAGAGGUAUGCAGGGGAGAACGGAAUUCCUGGUGUAGCGGUGAAAUGCGCAGAUAUCAGGAGGAACACCGGUGGCGAAGGCGGUUCUCUGGGCAUUACCUGACGCUGAGGAGCGAAAGUGUGGGGAGCGAACAGGAUUAGAUACCCUGGUAGUCCACACCGUAAACGUUGGGCGCUAGGUGUGGGGCCUAUUCCAUGGGUUCCGUGCCGCAGCUAACGCAUUAAGCGCCCCGCCUGGGGAGUACGGCCGCAAGGCUAA